UGGGGAAUUUUGGACAAUGGGCGCAAGCCUGAUCCAGCCAUGCCGCGUGAGUGAAGAAGGCCUUCGGGUUGUAAAGCUCUUUCGGUGAAGACGAAACGGUUAGCGUUAAUAGCGCUGACUAAUGACGGUACUCACAGAAGAAGCACCGGCUAACUACGUGCCAGCAGCCGCGGUAAUACGUAGGGUGCAGGCGUUAAUCGGAAUUACUGGGCGUAAAGCGUGCGCAGGCGGUUUGCUAAGACAGGUGUGA
rnacentral:rRNA from 1 species